GACGAACGCUGGCGGCGUGCUUAACACAUGCAAGUCGAGCGGCAGCGCGGGAGCAAUCCUGGCGGCGAGCGGCGGACGGGUGAGUAACGCUUGGGAAUCUGCCUGUUAGUGGGGGACAACCCGGGGAACUCGGGCUAAUACCGCAUACGCACUACGGUGGAAAGCCGGGGACCGCAAGGCCUGGCGCUAACAGAUGAGCCCAAGUCGGAUUAGCUAGUUGGUAGGGUAACGGCCUACCAAGGCGACGAUCCGUAACUGGUCUGAGAGGACGACCAGUCACACCGGAACUGAGACACGGUCCGGACUCCUACGGGAGGCAGCAGUGGGGAAUAUUGGACAAUGGGGGAAACCCUGAUCCAGCGACGCCGCGUGGGUGAAGAAGGCCUGCGGGUUGUAAAGCCCUUUUGUCCGGGAAGAAAUCGCAAGGGUGAAUAGCCUUUGUGGCUGACGGUACCGGGAGAAGAGC
rnacentral:rRNA from 1 species